GGGAUGACAUGGGGUCGACUCAUGUAAGAUUGUGAUGAAGCAUUUCUGGUGUGGAUUCAUUAAAAUUUAUCCAGAAUCGCUCUGUAUUCUCCCUGUUCGCCGGGUAAUACAAAGCUAAACUAAUAGACGAAAUAAGCAUGUAGAGCCGAUGGCAGAGUACUUGCGGACGCGGGUUCAAUUCCCGCCAUCCCACCA
rnacentral:tmRNA from 1 species